AAGCGGAGGAAAAGAAACUAACCAGGAUUCCCUCAGGNACGGCGAGUGAAGCGGNAAGAGCCCAGCACCGAAUCCCCCAGUCGACGGCUGGNGGUAACUUUGGUGUAUGAGACGUCAACUGUCGUCCGAUCCGGUGGCCGAAGUCCUCCUGAUCGGNGCCUCUCCCAGAGUGGGUGUCAGGCNUUUACCUGGCNGCUGGUCGGUCGGCUGCGAGCGUCUCCGGNGUCUGGUUGUUUGGGAAUGCAGCCCAAAGCGGGUUU
rnacentral:rRNA from 1 species